rnacentral:rRNA from 1 species
GCUAGCAGCUAUAUCACCCUGCAACUCUCAACUGGCAACCCCCUGAAGCUAAGUAGGGCUGAGCCUGGUCAGUACCUGGUUGUGAGAUCUCCUGGGAAAACCUGUGAUUGCUGCUAGAA